AUCUGCAGUGUGACAGCAGUAUUUGAUGCUUCUAUUAUUGAGAGUCAAAUAGAAGCGUCAAAUACUGCUGUCACAUUGCAGUU